AUCAUCUCGGGGUCGCACCUGGAGAGUUUCCAGUACUCUCCCGUUCUCGGCUACGGGAGGGAGUGUCAAGCAGAGGCCUUUCCGUUCCAUUCCUAGCUUGGCCAGUGGCUAGCGAGUGGAAGCCCCUCUGCCACAAGU